rnacentral:rRNA from 1 species
CUCGUAGGCGGCCAACUAAGUCGGAUGUGAAAAUCCCCCAGGCUCAACUUGGGAACUGCAUCCGAUACUGGAUGGCUUGAAUCCGGGAGAGGGAUGCAGAGUUCCAGGUGUAGCGGUGAAAUGCGUAGAUAUCUGGAGGAAUACCGGUGGCGAAGGCGGCAUCCUGGACCGGCAUUGACGCUGAUGAGCGAAAGCCAGGGGAGCAAAC